GGGGAAAAUUCUUGUGUUAUUUAUUUCUCCUUCGGGAUAGGGUGCCUGCAGCGCUUCAUGGGAGGGGGUGGGCUGAUGCUGCGGGCUCAGAAGUUUCAAGGGCAUCUGGGGAGACCAGAUAUUCAGAGACCUUCUAGAUGUGCCUGUUCCAUGUAUCAGGGACGCAGGUUUUCCCAACAGGGCUGGUGUCAUUGGCAUGACAGACCUGCCUUGGCUGAGCGUUCACCUGUCUUUGGAGUUCAGCCACCUUAGCAAGUCCUGGGUUUGUUCUUCAGACUUUGCUGCUCGCCCAUUGCCUGGAUCGGGGGCUACUUUGUAAACCACCAGGAAGACUCCAGUGUUUCUGGUUAAUUUUUAGAUGUUUGUUAAUUGCUCUUGGUCUCUCAUUAAUCCCCUGUGGGUCAUCCAGGAAACAUACUCACCACUGUCUGUUCUCUGAGUUUUCAUUUCCAGGCAUCCGCCCUGCCUGGAUCUCCUCACCUGCCAGGAACUUCCUCUCCACAAGCCGGCCAUCCCAGCAAAAGUUCUAACACCAAAGGUCUGGCAACUAGCCUGCCAUCUUGUGCCUGGAGCCGCCUGCGUGCCACCUACUCCCGAAGAUGGGAACCUUGUUGCCAGUUGGGCAGAUGCGGGGCAAUCCUGUACCAAGACCCCAUUUUACCACCUGCUUUCUCAGACCACUCUGGAACCCACUGUCUCAGAUUGUGUCCUCCAGGAAGCAGACCAUGAGAGGGAGUUGGCAGGGCCAAAGAUUUACUGGGGCUAACUAACACUCAGGAAAGGGAUAGGAAGGAAACAGGGCUGGAGAGCAGGUUGAGCCCGACCUGACAGUCUCGAGCAGCCCAACAGGGAGGUGUGGAGCAAGGGUUGCCCACUAGAGGGGCCUGCAUUGGGUACGGGUGAUGGGGUCCACAUGGUACCUGGCAUAUAGCAGGCUGUGCAAUCCAUAUUAACUGACUGGAUAAAUUAAUGCCCAGAAAAGGUGCCCUGGAGAAUGGGUGUGUGCUGAACACAAUAGGGAAGGGCCCAGCAUCUGCCUUGGCAUAGGCAGAACUGUGCUGUGCCCUGCAACAGGCCACCUGAGAGCUGCUUUGAUCUUGUGUGUACAUUAGAUGACUGCCAGGGGCAUGAAGGGGAUGUGCUUCCAGGGCAUUUGCUGGCAGGGCGUCUCGUGAUCUCUUGGUAUUGGUGUGAGCACAGCCUGGCAGGAGAGGGCAGAUCUCCAUGCAAAGUAUGUCAGAAAGCAGAUGGAAGCCAGGCCCCCUCCUGAAAGAGGCUCCUUGAAGGUAGGUGCACACUCAUGUCUUUGUUACUUGUAAGGGGGCAUCUUACAGGCAAGAGGAGUUAGGUGAAUGUGAAGAGGAAGGAACUACUCUGGGCAGGGGGCUGGGGGACGCUUCGUAGAGGAGGGGGUGUUUGAGCUGGGCCUUGAAGGUCAAAAGGGUUUUGUUAGGUGGGAAAUGGGGGAAGGACAGUCUGAAAGGGUUAGGUACAUUCAAGGAGCCCAGAGAAGGUUCGUGGCUGGAGCAGACGCAUUCGUAGAGUGAAGUCAUGGGAGAGAAGAGGCUGGGAAACUAGAUUGGUUCCAACUCCUAAAGGACCACUGAAGGAGUGUGGGCUGCACGCUGGGUGCAGCAGGUGAGUUUCCUCACUUGGGUUUCACUGUCAGCAUUUUAAAAAGGCAAACUGGUUUUCUUCCUGAGAAGAAUUCAUUGAUUCACUUGUGGCCAGUAAGUCAUCUGGGCCAGAGGUUGGUGGGGAGAUGAUAGGGGUGCAAGUGUCAUCUUCAAUCACAGCAUAACUGCCCUUGCUUUCUUACCUCUCGUUUAGAUAUUUCAAUGCUUGCUCAGGUCCCCUGCGCCCUCCUUCCUUCUCCCUUCCCAGCCAUACUACUUAUGGGAUGACUUUCUCUUUGUAAAAUGACCGUUAGUCUUAUCAAAUUAAUCCCAAAGUAAUACCAUCAAUUUCCCCCUAAAAUACCAACAAGACCCCUGCUUGAAACUGCUUGUACAUUAGAGACAGAGAAGAGUCCAUGAGAAUCAACAUUUUCUGAGGACUCCAACUGUGUGCCAAGAGAGUUCCCCUGCUGGUGCCUCCUCUGUAGUAAAGGAAAGGCUCCUGGGACCACAUUAUCAUUCUCUUCACUCGAGAGAUGAGGACACUGAAAUUCAGAGAGGGGAAGUGAUUUGCCUCAGCUUGUACUAAAGAAACAUUUCAACAGAGAACCCAGUGGAAAUUAUGACAUGUUAUCUUCUCAGAGUCCUGAACUCCCAUCCCUACCUCAGAAGAGACUCCUCUGUUCACAGAAGCUAAAGGCAGUUCCUUCCCAAUGGCAACUAUGUUUGGAUGUUGGAUCUACACUUUCUCAAGCACUGUGAUCUUCAAAUACUGCCAUCCAGGGCCAUGCAGCAAACAAGCAACAGGGAAAUAUCCCACUAUGCAAUCCUAUUUUGAGAUGAUAUUUAGGAUGAGAGAACAUGCAUUAGUUACCUACCAGCUUGACAGGAAUGGAUUUCCAAAUCUGACACACCAUAGCCUGAAUUCUCACCAGUUUGCUCCUGGAAAGGCCCGCUCAUGCAGCAUGAGCCCCUGCCACUCUUCUAAAUAAGCUUCCAGGCAUUACCUGCAUGCUGUGUUCCUGUGGUGGGAUGGCAGUAAUCUCUGCUAAGAUAAACGGGAGCUUCUGUGGAUAAAGCAUAAACGCAGUGAAGUGUGUGUGGCUGGAAGAUUUAAUGCCUCUACAGUGCUUAGAUACAAGUUGAGCUUGGAAUUCCAGAGGUAGAGCACUGCUGAUUGGAGACAUAUUAAGUAAAAUGUACUGUGGAAAUGAGAUAAAACCUUUAUUCUUGCUAAUGAUUGUCAUUGUAUGUAUUCAGGUGUCCAACAAAGGAUUUUAGAAUAAAGUGUGCCUUUAAAGUUUCCCACCUUCUUAAAGCUCCCAAUGAAUUGCAAAGGGCCUGUUUGGAAUGGACUGUAUUAAAUCUACUUCAAAUGAAAACCUUUACACUGAGUGAAAUAUGGUUCAACAAUUCUUAACACAAGGCCUUUACACUUGUGUAGCCCAUUUUGGUUUGGCCUAUCUUGUCACUAGAAUGCUGUCUGAGCUUGGAUUAUUUAUGCCCUAAGAUUUACUUAAAAUUGAAGGGAGUAUUUCCAUUCAUCAACACUAGUUUUGAUAGAUGCUUAAAAGGUGCAGUGAGGUUGAUGAUCCUGAAUACACAAAUUAUUGAUCACCACAUCAAGUUGGAUUUCCCUAAAGAUGUAUGGCUUUCUGACCUUGUGAUUUACACUAAUGAUUAUGUCUUAAUAAAAGUAAUAA
rnacentral:lncRNA from 1 species